GUGUCAGCCGCCGCGGUAAGACAGAGGGUGCAAACGUUGCUCGGAAUCAUUGGGCGUAAAGCGCGUGUAGGCGGCUUGUUACGUCGGGUGUGAAAGCCCAGGGCUCAACCCUGGCAGUGCACCCGAAACGGGGAAGCUGGUGUACUGGAGAGGCGAGUGGAAUUCCUGGUGUAGAGGUGAAAUUCGUAGAUAUCAGGAGGAACACCGGUGGCGAAGGCGACUCGCUGGCCAGUAACUGACGCUGAGACGCGAAAGCGUGGGGAGCAAACAGGAUUAGAUACCCUCGUAGUCC
rnacentral:rRNA from 1 species